rnacentral:lncRNA from 10 species
CCACUAAACUGGCCAACCCCCUUCGGUUGCAUGUAUAAAAGUCAAGCCCUGUCUUUGUUCAGGGCUCAGCCUUUGGUUGUUAAUCUGCUGGGCCGGUGCACCUAAAUAAAAUCCUCCUGCCCACCCAUCGGUCUCUCCUGUCCCUUAAUUCCAGCAACAAGAGCAGCUUCUGCUUGUUUGUAACUUCACCACGUUUGAAUCUCUUGCUCAGUAGGGAAGAUUGGUCAAGCUGUUUGGAUCCACAUUUCACAGGACUGGAAGGAAGAAAGUGGUCAUAUUUACUGAUUGUGCAAGGAAUCUCAUCAGCUUGUCUGAGGGAUAUUCUAACCCAGGGAGAGAAGUUGAGUGAGUUAUUGAGUUUUGGAGACUAAUGAUUUUUUUGAAAGUGAAAUGUCAGAAUCAAAUGAGGAUCAGUGAAUCUCUGAAGACGAGAACAGAUAAGAGAAUGUGGGAAAGUCAAAUUGAGUCAGGAGAAAGAACUCUCCAGCUGACUGCAGGACUUUGAGCACUGAGUCAGGAGAAAGAACUCUCCAGCUGACUGCUGGAUCUUGAGCACUGAGUCAGGAGAAAGAACUCUCCAGCUGACUGCAGGACCUUGAGCACUGAGUCAGGAGAAAGAACUCUCCAGCUGACUGCAGGACCUUGAGCACUGAGUCACAAGAAAGAACUCUCCAGCUGACUGCUGGAUCUUGAGCACUGAGUCAGGAGAAAGAACUCUCCAGCUGACUGCAGGACCCUGAGCACUGAGUCAGGAGAAAGAACUCUCCAGCUGACUGCAGGACCCUGAGCACUGAGUCAGGAGAAAGAACUCUCCAGCUGACUGCAGGACCCUGAGCACUGAGUCAGGAGAAAGAACUCUCCAGCUGACUGCAGGACCUUGAGCACUGAGUCUGGAGAAAGAACUCCCCAGCUGACUGCUGGAUCUUGAGCAUUGAGUCUGGAGAAAGAACUCCCCAGCUGACUGCAGGGCCUUGAGCAUUGAAUCAGGAGCAAGAACUCUCCAGCUGACUGCUUGAGCAACAGGGUCUAUAUAUUUUUCAGUAUCAAUUCUAAUCCAUUAAUUCUGUAUCUCAUAGGAAAAAAAUAUUUGGUUGGUGCAAAAGUAAUCACGGUUUUUGCCAUUUAAAGUAAUGGCAAAAGUACUUUAAAUGGCAAACACCGUGAUUAGUUUUGCACCAACCUAAUAAAUAAAAUAAUUAACUGAAGCUUCAGGGUUUUUUUAAUUCAUAGGACUUUCAAAUCACAUUUGUUUUCCCAAAAGGUAUUCAAGAAUAAAAUUGCUGUAUCCUAAGUGCAGCAAUUCUAUUUGUGGAAAAGGAAAAACAGAAGGUAAAUCUUUUAUCUGCCCUUGGAGUUUUCACAGCAUACAUUCUAAUGCAUUUUUUUUUCUUUUUCUCCAAGUGAUAGAUUAUCACAAGGCUGUUAAAAAUCCCAGGACUUUUAAAUAAUAUAUUCAUGAAACUUAUAACAAACUUGAGAGUUACAGAGAAAACUGAACAUGAAAAAGGCACACAUAGUUUGGAAUAUGGACAGUGGGCACUCUGCCUUUAGUUGUGGAUAUUUUGGGUGUGUGUGUGUGUGUGUGUGUGUGUGGUGUGAUCUCAGUAAGUUAGGGAAGAGGUGGGCUGAGUCAUUUGCUUUUCUUCCUCCAUAUUUUAUUCUGUUAAAUACUCACACCACUCUUGUAAAAUGGAUACAAAUGCUUUCAUUUAUAAAAUAUAGAGAGGUGAAAUAACUUGCUGAGAUCACUCAGCAUUUAAUGACAGAAAUAGGACUCACACUCAGAUCUGGCUGUUGCCAUGUCAUAUUAUUUGAAUGAUAAUCCUUUUUUGGUAGAAAGUGAUACUUGCUCAUUGUAGAAAACUUAAGAAAUGAGAUAAAAAGUAAAAGCAAAAUGACUUUUAAUCUACCAUUUAGGGAUGGCAUUCUGUGUAUGUAUCUUCCAGAUUAUUUUCAUUACACCACCCUUUCUUACUUAACUACUGAGAUUCUCUUUUCCCUCACCUGUAAAAUUGAAGCAAAAGUAUUAGCAUUUCUACGGUUCCAUAUAGCUUUAAAAUUCUAUGAUUUUUAUACCUCAAGUGCUUUUCCUUUCAAUUUUUAGUUCCCUUAAUGGAAAAAAAGUACUCACACAGAAAGAUAGGCAAAUUUGCAUGAACAGUUUGAUGCCUUCUUCUCAGGGACAACACUAAGGCUGGGAAAGCAUCUCCAAGUAGGUUACAAGACACUCAUCCAUUCCUUAUUUCCUGGACAGACUCCAUGUUAGUGUCUUGGCUAACAUGUGACUACAUCCCAGCCAAUAGCUAACUUUAGGAUGAUUAGAACAGGGAAUAAGGGAAAGAAAGCUGGCUUAGGAAGGUCAUAACAUUUGUGAAAAUGAAUGUGAAUAUAAAAUUGCUGACCAGCUCAGGAACCUUAUGGAGUUAUUGUUCCAGGUGCCAGCAGCAGAUAGAUUGAUCUAAAGCAGGAGCAGUGGUUAAUCAGUCACCUGCGAUUUAGAAACUUAGUCCUUCUGGACGGCAGUAUUUUUUCUUCUCCUGCAUCUUGACUAAUGUACUGACAGAAAGAUUAGAAAGUUACAUAAUUGCAUUAGGAUAACAAGGCAGUUCAGGGAGAAGCUGAUACCCUGGUGGUAUUUCUAGAAUAAUUUGGAGGAGGUGCCAUUACCAUCUUGUUGAGCUGUCUGCAAUUGUUAGAAGGGACAAAAAGAAGUGAGUCUAUCAUCUAUUUUUUUCAGAUUACUAGUUACUUGAAAGAUGAGUCAAAAGCAGAGACAUAAAGAUCAAGUGGCUUGGAAAGAAAGGACAUCACUAACACUUUUUACAACGAUGUAUGGGUUGUUGUGGUUUUCUUUUUCAUUUUUGUUUUUUUUUCUUUUUGUUAAGUCAAGCAUAGGAUUUGCAUUAUUUCACACUUAGCCUUUAUUUCUUCAGCUCCAAAUUUCCCCUUAUUCCUUGACUAUCUCAUUUUUCUUUUUCAUCUUUCUGUCACACACACAGACACACACAAACACAUACCCAUACACACACACACAGGACACAAAAUGUGGUCAUAGAAACAUAGAAACAUAGAGACAGACACACACAGACAUGCAUAAAUAGACACAGACACCAAUACAGGUGAACACACAGAUACACGCCAUAUUGCAGGAAGAUUUCUUUUUCCUUGAACAAACUGCACUUAUCAUAUAUGUCUACACAAUAUGCUCAGAAUGCAUCUUUCUAGUAGCAGUUUAUAAUUUUCCUUUUCUCUCAGCCUCAGUUUCACCAACUGUGAGAUUAGGAUGAACAUGCCAACCUACCUAGGAUGGUAAUAUAAUUUUGAAAUAGCUAAAAUCUUUUCAAUUAAAAGUGACAGAAAUUCACAUUGUACUCUCAUAAGUAGAAAUAGGACCCCU